rnacentral:rRNA from 1 species
UCAUGAAAGCCGUUUGUACCCGAAGUCACUGUGCUGACCGCAAGGGAGCAGGUGCCGAAGGUAUGGAUGGUGAUUGGGAUG